rnacentral:rRNA from 1 species
AUACGAAAGGUGCAAGCGUUGUUCGGAUUUACUGGGCGUAAAGAGAGUGUAGGUGGUUUAUUAAGUCGGAUGUGAAAUCCCGGGGCUCAACCUCGGAACUGCAUUCGAUACUGAUAGGCUAGAGUGUGGGAGGGGUAAGCGGAAUUCCGUGUGUAGCAGUGAAAUGCGUAGAUAUACGGAGGAACACCUGAGGCGAAGGCGGCUUACUGGACCAAUACUGACACUGAGACUCGAAAGCGUGGGUAGCAAACAGGAUUAGAUACCCUAGUAGUCC